rnacentral:rRNA from 1 species
CGGAAUCUGCCUAUUUGUGGGGGAUAACGUAGGGAAACUUACGCUAAUACCGCAUACGACCUACGGGUGAAAGCGGAGGACCUUCGGGCUUCGCGCAGAUAGAUGAGCCGAUGCCGGAUUAGCUAGUUGGCGGGGUAAAGGCCCACCAAGGCGACGAUCCGUAGCUGGUCUGAGAGGAUGAUCAGCCACACUGGAACUGAGACACGGUCCAGACUCCUACGGGAGGCAGCAGUGGGGAAUAUUGGACAAUGGGCGCAAGCCUGAUCCAGCCAUGCCGCGUGGGUGAAGAAGGCCUUCGGGUUGUAAAGUCCUUUUGUUGGGAAAGAAAAGCAGUCGGUUAAUACCCGAUUGUUCUGACGGUACCCAAAGAAUAAGCACCGGCUAACUUCGUGCCAGCAGCCGCGGUAAUACGAAGGGUGCAAGCGUUACUCGGAAUUACUGGGCGUAAAGCGUGCGUAGGUGGUUUGUUAAGUCUGAUGUGAAAGCCCUGGGCUCAACCUGGGAAUUGCAUUGGAUACUGGCAGGCUAGAGUGCGGUAGAGGGUAGUGGAAUUCCCGGU